CUUUGUACUACAGUUAUCAUGUCGCUUCCUGUUCACUGCUCUCCAAUGGCUACAGAAUAAAAACUUCUUAACAUGGCUCAUCAUGCCUUCCUGGUCAGGUCCCUGUCUCCCUUCCCAUCUCCUGUCCCAUGCUCUCCAAUGACAGGUGGGAGCUGCAGUCAUGCUCAGGGUGCUGCAGUUCAAACACUUCUUAUUCUUUAAAGAUUCUCUGCCUUUGAGAACAGGUUAUUCCCACUUCCUGGAAUACUACUGCCCACCUUUUACACUUAACAAACAUCUACAAGACUCAGCUCAGACACAGAGAGUCCUCUCUGUCUUCUUCUCUGUCCCUAAGACUCCUUCACCUUGUUGCAGCUACCUCAUUGUACUGUUACUCUAUUUUCAUCUCUGCUUCCUUCUUCAGACCAUGAACAAGGAUGAUGUUCUAUUCAUCUUGAUAUUCCCAGCGCCAAGCACAUUUCGGGUACCUGCUAAAUAUCUGUUAAAUGAAUUUGUGUAAAUAUCUUAUUUACAUAACUAAUCUGUGACACCCUUGAGGACUAUCUGGAUAGUUCAUUCAUUUUGUAUCUAAAGAGCCUAGAUCGGUGUCUGACACAUAGCUGACGUCAAUAACUAUUUGUAAAAAUAAGUUCCUUCUGCCAAUCUGGAUGACACUUAAUUUAAAGCACUGUUAUCCUCUUUUCCUCUGUCCUCCUGGUUUCCACAAUCAAAAGGCUCUAUUAACUCUGCACUGAAAUCUGUCUCCUUUCCGUAACUAACCCUCUUAAACCAAUAUCCGGCCCUGGGCACAGUCUGCCAGGAGGCCUGAAGUUUAUGACACUGCCCGCCAUUUCGUCCCCGCAGCUUACUUGGGGAUGGAAUGUCAGAGGAAACCACAGCUCCCAUCAUCCCCCACGUAAGGACACCCCCGCGGAAGGGGGUGUCCCUGCUGCUCCUGUGCCCGCGGCUGACAGGCAGGGAACCAGGACGGAGACGGACCCUGGCCGCGUCCAGGGUUCAGGACUUCCAUCGAAUUGAGUCUUAUUACAGCUCAAGAUACAACCCCUAAAAAUCAUGGAUGAUAUUCGGAAAAGAUGAAAACUCUAACUCGAAAAGAUACAUGCACCCCAACGUUCAUAGCAACACUAUUUGCAAUAGCCAAGACAUGGAAGCAACCUAAAUG